rnacentral:tRNA from 1 species
AAAAAAUUAGUUAAAUUAUAACAUUAACUUGUCAAGUUAAAAUUAUUAUCUUUGUUAGUAUUUUUUG